rnacentral:misc_RNA from 1 species
GUAUUAAUUGCGUGUGAUCGCAAAGAAAGACAUUCUACACUGUAUCGAGUUUGUGUGAAAACGCGAGCCCCCCUCGGGACGAGCCGAAAGGGGACCCACGCGGUGGUGCACAUAGGGGUGAAAUGGAUGGUUGAGAGCACUUGGGCGUGCACGACGAAAAGUCAGCGACAGCCCAUGUGCCUCGGUUGUACGAUAAUGAUCCUUCCGCAGGUUCACCUACGGAAA